UUUUUACAGAAACAAUUUUUCCUUGUAGAUGUUACAGAUACAUUCAUACGAAUGAUGUUGAAGAAACAAAGAGAAAAGGAACUUGGACUGUACCAUUUUGUUUGCAGCUUUUAAGAUAAAGGAGAUAAAUUUCCUCUGUUGACAAAAAAAUGGUUGAGGAGUCGGAAAGUUUGACUGAAGAUUAAGGAUAUCAAAUGAAGAUUAUUAUUGAAAAAAGAGCACUUUGAAGUACUAGGAGAAUUUGAAAACAUCUUGGUGAAAUAGUUUGACUGAUUAUGACAGAACAUCAAAAGAAAUGACGAAAAAUUACACAUCUUAUCAAAAUAGUACUUCUAGAAACUAAAAGCUACUUGCAAUUUUCACUGGUUUUGA